GUGAACGCAAGGACCUGCAGCUGGUGUAGUACGAGGGGUGCGGGCGGUAAUACGAAUGACAGUGCGUAAAGCGUGUGCAGGAGGUUGUGGAAGGCAGUUGUGAAAUCCCCGGGCGCAACCUGGUAACUGCAUUUGAGACUGCACGGCUAGAGUGUGACAGAGUGGGGUAGAAUUCCACGUGUAGCAGUGAAAUGCUUAGAGAUGUGGAGGAAUACCGAUGGCGAAGGCAGCCCCCUGGGUUACUACUGACGCUCAUGCACGAAAGCGUGGGGAGCAAACAGGAUUAGAUACCCUGGUAUC
rnacentral:rRNA from 1 species